AUUGAACGCUGGCGGCAGGCCUAACACAUGCCAGUCGAACGGUAACAGGAAGAAGCUUGCUUCUUUGCUGACGAGUGGCGGACGGGUGAGUAAUGUCUGGGAAACUGCCUGAUGGAGGGGGAUAACUACUGGAAACGGUAGCUAAUACCGCAUAACGUCGCAAGACCAAAGAGGGGGACCUUCGGGCCUCUUGCCAUCGGAUGUGCCCAGAUGGGAUUAGCUAGUAGGUGGGGUAACGGCUCACCUAGGCGACGAUCCCUAGCUGGUCUGAGAGGAUGACCAGCCACACUGGAACGGAGACACGGUCCAGACUCCUACGGGAGGCAGCAGUGGGGAAUAUUGCACAAUGGGCGCAAGCCUGAUGCAGCCAUGCCGCGUGUAUGAAGAAGGCCUUCGGGUUGUAAAGUACUUUCAGCGGGGAGGAAGGGAGUAAAGUUAAUACCUUUACUCAUUGACGUUACCCGCAGAAGAAGCACCGGCUAACUCCGUG
rnacentral:rRNA from 1 species